rnacentral:rRNA from 1 species
GUGAACGCUGGCGGUAGGCCUAACACAUGCAAGUCGAACGGCAGCACAGUAAGAGCUUGCUCUUACGGGUGGCGAGUGGCGGACGGGUGAGGAAUACAUCGGAAUCUACUUUUUCGUGGGGGAUAAUGUAGGGAAACUUACGCUAAUACCGCAUACGACCUACGGGUGAAAGCAGGGGAUCUUCGGACCUUGCGCGAUUGAAUGAGCCGAUGUCGGAUUAGCUAGUUGGCGGGGUAAAGGCCCACCAAGGCGACGAUCCGUAGCUGGUCUGAGAGGAUGAUCAGCCACACUGGAACUGAGGCACGGUCCAGACUCCUACGGGAGGCAGCAGUGGGGAAUAUUGGACAAUGGGCGCAAGCCUGAUCCAGCCAUACCGCGUGGGUGAAGAAGGCCUUCGGGUUGUAAAGCCCUUUUGUUGGGAAAGAAAAGCAGCAGGUUAAUACCCCGCUGUUCUGACGGUACCCAAAGAAUAAGCACCGGCUAACUUCGUG